rnacentral:lncRNA from 1 species
CAACUCGUGGGCAUAUAUGGGAAGCCACAUCUCCACACCAUUAUCCCAGCCUGGAGAUGAAGUUCAGACAUCUUUGUAGGAGGAGGAACCUGUCUACAUGGGAUUGCAUAAGGUUAACUCGGAAGCAGCGACUGCACUGAGCACCAGACUGGAUUUUCAUAUCAUUGGAACAGGACAGGCUGGCAUCUCCCAGUGUUGAGACUGCAACAAUGCACAGCCAAGUGUCAUGGAUGUUUUCACUUAGCAAUCAGUACUGGGGAUUGAACCGGGAAUCCUAUAUGCGCUAAGCAAAGCACCCUACCGCAGAGCUGCAUUGCAGUAGUGAGUGGGAAGUCGCUAAAGAUGGACCCUUCUUACAAGUCUCAGUUCAGGAAGAGCACAGCAGGGAAGCUACAUGGAAGUAACUUGGAAUCCCCUAUAAGAAAAUACUGGUCAUCAAACAUCUAUUAAACAAGUGCCCCGGACUAUAAAUCCCCACCCCAAGCCAGCUUUGAAAAGGCCAAGUGUGAACAGAAGAGAUUGCUGAACAAAUGGACUGAGAGCAGAAAAGCACACCAGCAAGAACUGCAUAGCUCCCGGUUUCCUUCUUGAUCCCACUGACGUGUCUGGCACAGUCCUCACACUGUGGAUGCUGGCUCGGUGUCACCAGUACUGACUCUGCCUACUUUCUUCUGGACAAACAAGGAGAAAAUAGAAGGGAAGAAUGGAGAUUCAAAUCACUCAUGUGAGAGUGUCUUGGAAUCAUGCUGCUGGGGAUGAGAUGAGUUCUGAAAAGGGAUGGCACAGAUGCAAUGGAAGGAAUGGGGGGGUGGAGUUCAAAAAUUAAAUGGAGAUGACCAUGUAUGGAGGUUCACGCCCAACAUACCCGUCUUGACAAACUCAAGAUAGGCUUGGAUUAUGUAAUGAAAC